rnacentral:rRNA from 1 species
GCUUGUCUCAAAGAUUAAGCCAUGCAUGUCUUAGUGUAAAUAACUCUUAUGAAACUGCGAAUGGCUCAUUAAAUCAGUUAUAGUUUAUUUGAUGGUACUUACUUACUCGGAUAACCGUAGUAAUUCUAGAGCUAAUACGUGCGUAAAUCCCGACUUCUGGAAGGGACGUAUUUAUUAGAUAAAAGGCCGACCGGGCUCUGCCCGACUCGCGGUGAAUCAUGAUAACUUCACGAAUCGCACGGCCUCGUGCCGGCGAUGUUUCAUUCAAAUUUCUGCCCUAUCAAUUGGCGAUGGUAGGAUAGAGGCCUACCAUGGUGUUAACGGGUGACGGGGGAUUAGGGUUCGAUUCCGGAGAGGCAGCCUGAGAAACGGCUACCACAUCCAAGGAAGGCAGCAGG